GGGUACCCGGACCUGCCCAACGACCGUUCUCCAUUCCCGACCUCCGCACCCUACCCGGUCCGCAGGGCACCUUCCUCCUCUCUCUCAGGCACGUCCUCGACCUCAGUUGCCACGUGCACAUGCUGGUGCCUUCCAGGUCGGUCUUUCUCCACCAGACUCCACCUGGAACUUUCUUCCUUUUCGUCCUGUGCUGGCCUAACCCCUGCUCGGCCUCGGCCCUCAGCUGCCGGCUCUAACAAAGCCUCUGUCUUUCCCAGACCCCUGUGACCAGGCUGGAGUAUAGUGGCAUGAUCAUAGAUCACUGCAGCCUCAAACUCCUGGGCUCAAGCGAUCCUCCCACCUCAGCCUCCAUAUAGCUGGUGGGGACCAAGUUUCUAACACAUGAAUGUUGGGAGACACAUUCAGACCAUCGCAGUGGCCUUAUAAAAAGAGACACAAGAGCUUGCUCUCUGCCAUGUGAGAAUACCACAAGAAGACUGUCCUCAGCAAAUCAGAAAGCGGGUGGACCCUCAUCAGACACCAGAUGUGCCUGCACCUUGAUCUUGGACUUGCCAGCCUUCAGAACAGUAAGAAAGAAAUGUGUGUUGUUUAAGCCACCCAGUCUAUGGUAACUUGCUAUAGCAGCCCACUAGGAGACCCCAAGAUAUUUAAAAACUCAUCAGCACCUGCUUUCUGCAUCUGGACCCUGAUCUUCUGGUGGGUUUACCAGUUACUUGUAGAGUGUCCCUGUGAUAGUUUUAGGUGUCAACUUGACAGGAUUGAGGGAUGCCUAGAUGGCUGGGGAAGCACUGUUUCUGAGAAGGACCAUGUUUUUGGAGGAGACUGUUUUAUGAGUGAAUUUCAGGGGACACAUUCAGAUCAUGGCAGUGGCAUUAUAAAGAGAGACACAAAAGCUUGCUCUCUCUCUCUGCCAUGUAAGACUACCACACAAAGACUGCCAUCUGCAAACCAGAAGCAGGUGGGCCUUCCAACUUGGAUCAGGCCAUGCCACCGGCUUCUCUGAUUCUCCAGCUUGCAGAUGGUAUAUUGUGACCCUGGCAUUUAAUAACUAUGACUUUGGUCUUAAGCAAUUUUCUUCCUCUGUGGAUUGAUAUUUACAUAUCAAUGUGGAUAAUAAUUUCUUACCACGGUAACUGUUGUGAGGUAAAAAUGAGUUAACAUAAGUAAAACCGAGCACAUGCAAACCAUCCGAAAUGGUUAAUACUUACUAUUUGUACUUGAAGAAAUAAAUGUUUUUGACAAUAAACUUCUUGUGCAGUUUUCCUCA
rnacentral:lncRNA from 1 species